rnacentral:rRNA from 1 species
GACGAACGCUGGCGGUGUGCUUAACACAUGCAAGUCGAACGGUAAGGCCCUUUCGGGGGUACACGAGUGGCGAACGGGUGAGUAACCCGUGAGUAACCUGCCCUCAUCUCUGGGAUAACAGUCGGAAACGGUUGCUAAUACUGGAUAUGAGCUUGCAAGGCAUCUUGUGGGUUGGAAAGAUUUUUUUUGGUUGGGGAUGGACUCGCGGCCUAUCAGCUUGUUGGUGAGGUAGUGGCUCACCAAGGCUUCGACGGGUAGCCGGCCUGAGAGGGCGACCGGCCACAUUGGGACUGAGAUACGGCCCAACCUCCUACGGGAGGCAGCAGUGGGGAAUAUUGCACAAUGGACGGAAGUCUGAUGCAGCAACGCCGCGUGCGGGAUGACGGCCUUCGGGUUGUAAACCGCUUUCAAUUGUGACGAAGCUUUUUUGUGACGGUAGCAGUAGAAGAAGCACCGGCUAACUACGU